GUAGGUGGCAAGCGUUGUCCGGAAUUAUUGGGCGUAAAGCGCGCGCAGGUGGUUCUUUAAGUCUGAUGUGAAAGCCCCCCGGCUCAACCGGGGAGGGUCAUUGGAAACUGGGGAACUUGAGUGCAGGAGAGGAAAGUGGAAUUCCACGUGUAGCGGUGAAAUGCGUAGAUAUGUGGAGGAACACCAGUGGCGAAGGCGACUUUCUGGCCUGUAACUGACACUGAGGCGCGAAAGCGUGGGGAGCAAACAGGGAUUAGAUACCCUGGUAGUCCACGCCGUAAACGAUGAGUGCUAAGUGUUGGGGGGGUUUCCCGCCCCUCAGUGCUGCAGCUAACGCAUUAAGCACUACGCCUGGGGAGUACGGUCGCAAGACUG
rnacentral:rRNA from 1 species